GUAUUUUUGAUAAAAAGAAUGUAGUGUGGCAUUAGAGAAAUGUAGUAUUAACACGCCCCCGGAUAGUGGGGCAUAAAAUAGAAGGAAGAAAUUAUGAAAUGGUUUAUUAAAGCGUUUCGGCAGUAUGCCGAUUUCAGCGGCCGGGCAAGCCGGCAAGAGUUUUGGAUGUUUGUACUGUUCAACCUGCUGUUGGCAAUGGUAUGGGCGUUUGUCGCCGGACUGCUCACGGGGCUGUUUGGCGGUUCUUUCGAUCAGGAGAGCAGGCUGAUAUUCAUGUACAAACUGAUAGCGAUUUAUUAUGCCGUGACGACGGUUCCCGCCAUGGCGGUCGGGGUGCGGCGGCUGCACGACACAGGGCGUAGCGGCUGGUGGAUGCUCGUCAGUCUCGUUCCUAUUGCGGGCGGCAUCUGGCUCAUCUUAUUGAUGUGCCUGGACGGCAGCGCGGGCGACAAUCGCUACGGCAGCCCUCCCGACGAGACAACGGGGAAUGUCCCGAAAUAUGAUUUGCGACAAAAGGCACUGAUGUGGCUAACGGCAUUCGCCGUUUUCAGCAUCUAUAUGUGUUUGCUGAACCUUGUCGAUGUAUUCAGUAACCGGUGGUACACCGGUACCGAUCAACUCAACAUGCUGUUGACUCUUUUGGGUAAUUUUUUAGUCUCCGUCUCUUUCAUCAUCAUGGGAAUCGCCUUCCUACAAAAGAGGGACUACUCCCGCACGGUGGGCGGAUGGAUAAUUGCCGCGUAUGUUCUCCUGCUCAUCUUGGAAAUCCGGUGGACUACAGUAAUAACCGAUUUCCAUAUUAAUAUGAGAUUUGUAUUGAAUAUUAUGCUAUUCCUUGCUUUUAUCCUUUACGGCGGAUUGCUGCUGGCAAGAAAAGGGCGUUUGCCGCUGGCAAACUAUGUGUUGAUGGCGGCAAGCGGUUGCAGCGUUAUCCUGGCACCCGUUUUCCUGGUACCUUUGAGAAUGAUGGAAGCCCACAGCUAUCUCGAUUAUCUUAUAAGCCAACUCUCCCUUAUCGUGCUGCUGUCGCUGUUGGUGUAUGCCGUUGCCAAUCUAGCUGCAGCGGAAAAGGAAAUCGAACACAAAGAAAAAACGCAAGAAUAAAAACGGUUAUGAAAAGAAUAUUUAUACUGACCGCCCUCUUCGCCGCCGUCAUCGGUUCGGCGGUGGGGCAAACGGAAAUCCGCACGGCGGAGGAGCUGGUUGCUAUCGGUACGGACAGGGAAACUCUGAGCGGUUCGUACAUAUUGAUGAACGACCUAACGCUCGACGACUGGGUGCCCAUCGGACGGAUGGAUCAUGGCGGCGAGACACCCUUCGAUGGAAUGCUUGAUGGUAAUGGCCACACGAUAACCAUCAACGGCUUUUCUACCGAUACGGACAACACGGCAUGCGUCGGGCUGUUCGGGCUGAUAGGUGAAAAAGGUGUGGUGAAGAGUCUGCGCAUAACGGGCAAAUUAACUUAUACAGACAAGCUCGACAUUCUGUAUAUCGGAGCCUUCGCCGGUGUGAA
rnacentral:rRNA from 1 species